AGAGUUUGAUCCUGGCUCAGAGUGAACGCUGGCGGCGUGCCUAAUACAUGCAAGUCGAACGAUGAAAUUUCUAGCUUGCUAGAAAUGGAUUAGUGGCGCACGGGUGAGUAACGCAUAGGUUAUGUGCCUCUUAGUUUGGGAUAGCCAUUGGAAACGAUGAUUAAUACCAGAUACUCCCUACGGGGGAAAGAUUUAUCGCUAAGAGAUCAGCCUAUGUCCUAUCAGCUUGUUGGUAAGGUAAUGGCUUACCAAGGCUAUGACGGGUAUCCGGCCUGAGAGGGUGAACGGACACACUGGAACUGAGACACGGUCCAGACUCCUACGGGAGGCAGCAGUAGGGAAUAUUGCUCAAUGGGGGAAACCCUGAAGCAGCAACGCCGCGUGGAGGAUGAAGGUUUUAGGAUUGUAAACUCCUUUUGUUAGAGAAGAUAAUGACGGUAUCUAACGAAUAAGCACCGGCUAACUCCGUGCCAGCAGCCGCGGUAAUACGGAGGGUGCAAGCGUUACUCGGAAUCACUGGGCGUAAAGAGCGCGUAGGCGGGAUAGUCAGUCAGGUGUGAAAUCCUAUGGCUUAACCAUAGAACUGCAUUUGAAACUACUAUUCUAGAGUGUGGGAGAGGUAGGUGGAAUUCUUGGUGUAGGGGUAAAAUCCGUAGAGAUCAAGAGGAAUACUCAUUGCGAAGGCGACCUGCUGGAACAUUACUGACGCUGAUUGCGCGAAAGCGUGGGGAGCAAACAGGAUUAGAUACCCUGGUAGUCCACGCCCUAAACGAUGGAUGCUAGUUGUUGGAGGGCUUAGUCUCUCCAGUAAUGCAGCUAACGCAUUAAGCAUCCCGCCUGGGGAGUACGGUCGCAAGAUUAAAACUCAAAGGAAUAGACGGGGACCCGCACAAGCGGUGGAGCAUGUGGUUUAAUUCGAAGAUACACGAAGAACCUUACCUAGGCUUGACAUUGAGAGAAUCCGCUAGAAAUAGUGGAGUGUCUAGCUUGCUAGACCUUGAAAACAGGUGCUGCACGGCUGUCGUCAGCUCGUGUCGUGAGAUGUUGGGUUAAGUCCCGCAACGAGCGCAACCCCCUUUCUUAGUUGCUAACAGGUCAUGCUGAGAACUCUAAGGAUACUGCCUCCGUAAGGAGGAGGAAGGUGGGGACGACGUCAAGUCAUCAUGGCCCUUACGCCUAGGGCUACACACGUGCUACAAUGGGGCGCACAAAGAGAAGCAAUACUGCGAAGUGGAGCCAAUCUUCAAAACACCUCUCAGUUCGGAUUGUAGGCUGCAACUCGCCUGCAUGAAGCUGGAAUCGCUAGUAAUCGCAAAUCAGCCAUGUUGCGGUGAAUACGUUCCCGGGUCUUGUACUCACCGCCCGUCACACCAUGGGAGUUGUGUUUGCCUUAAGUCAGGAUGCUAAACCAGCUACUGCCCACGGCACACACAGCGACUGGGGUGAAGUCGUAACAAGGUAACCGUAGGUGAACCUGCGGUUG
rnacentral:rRNA from 1 species